rnacentral:rRNA from 1 species
GACGAAGGUGGCUAGCGUUGUUCGGUGUUACUGGGCUUAAAGCGUGUGUAGGCGGAAAGAUUAGCGUCUUGUGAAAUACCUCGGCUUAACCGAGGAAUUGUUGGGCGAACUGUCUUUCUUGAGGCAAGUAGGGGUGCAUGGAACUCUUGGUGGAGCGGUGGAAUGCGUAGAUAUCAAGAGGAACGCCAACGGAGAAAUCAGUGCACUGGGCUUGUCCUGACGCUGAGACACGAAAGCGUGGGGAGCGAACGGGAUUAGAUACCCCCGUA